rnacentral:lncRNA from 1 species
CUCAGCCUCUCAAGUAGCUGGGAUUACAGGCAGACGCCAUGACGCCCAGCUAAUUUUUGUAUUUUUAGUAGAGAUGGGGUUUCCCCAUGUUGGCCAGGCUGGUGUCGAACUCCUAAACUCAGGUGAUCCACCCACCUCGGCCUCCCAAAGUGCUGGGAUUACAGGCAUGAGCCACUGACCCUGGGGAGCCUUUUUGGCCUUUUAUCCUUGUAGCCAUCUACUUAGGAACAAAAAACAAGCAGUCUUUGCAUGAUUCAGUUCCCAAGCUUGACUUUUCCCUUUGGCUUAGUGAGUUUGGGGUCUCAAGAUCCUAUUUUCCUUUCACAGACAGGUGAAAGUUUAUAGAAAUGGAGUCACAUCGUAUAAAUCAAGCUUUGCAGCUGACAUGGCCUUCUUUUCCUUGCUGGCUUGCCCCCACCUGUUUCUUCUCUAUGUCACCUCCCCCUGUCUCCACCACAGGUAACACCUGGCAUGGGUCCUUCAGGGUUUCACCCACGCCCCUGUAACUAUCGGGAUCUAUGAACUGUACAACGUAUAGGCAUACCAAAGCUUUUCUGUGUUUCUUUUAUAAAUUUUGGGUCCCAGUAUUCACACUUCCCCACGCCUUCCUUUCUACACUCAUAGACUCCUCGUGGAAAUCCCACCAGGUGAGUUGGCAGGGCAGCUGUCACUCAUUCCUUUUAGUGGCUGCAUAAAACUCCAUAGAGUAGACCUAUCCCCAUUUAUUCAACCAUCCUCAGCCAAUGGACAUUUACUUUGCUUACAUCUUUUCCACAGAGACCAAUAGAACAAUGCUACUAAAUAUUCUUUAGGAAGUUAAUUCUUGGAAAUUUUAUAACAUAUGCAAAUACACAUUCAUUGGAACAAAUAAAGUGGAGAUUUCACCACGCUAGGUGGACAUUUUUCUUAUUUCAGAGCUGUGGCAUAUCCCCCCAAGGAUUCCCUCAGGUACUGUAAGAGCUGGGCCCCAGCAUGACACUCCACCCAACCGUCCGUGUCACACCCCGAAGCCUCACGUCCUUCCUGUCUCUCUCUUUUAAACAUCUCCUGGUUUGCUCAGCUCUAAGCUUCCUCCUUUACUCCUCUGAUCCCAAGGAUUUGCUUUAUGAAUUCUAAAAAAAGUAUUUAUUUCCAAAAAGCAUCUGGAGCAGUUAUUUUGGAAAGCAAUUGUGGAACUCUGGGAAAGUGUGUGUUUUUUACAAACCAGACCCUUGAGGAAGGGGUAGGGGCUUUGUCAGAAUCCUUGAGGGAUGAGGGGGCAAAGACAGCAUGUACUGAUCGUGAAAUCACUCUUGUUUGAAACUGACUAUCCAAGAACAACUAAAGAAAGUCACAAUUAAAGUUCUGCUCCUUGGUUCCUCUGUCUCCUGGCCAUCCCAGAAAAGGGAACUGGCUUCAGGAGAGCCCUUCUUUCCCCUGGGGGCUGUACUUACCUUAAUGCACAGGCCUUCCCCGCCCAUCUGUAAUGAGCUUCAGCUGGAAAUCACCACGAGAAACCACAGAUCACUUCACAGAGGGGUUUUUCUAUGUGAUUCUAUUCCUGGAACUAUUAACACCUUUCACUUGGCUAUGGGCCCUUCUCUUCUGAAUCCACCUUAAACAUUGCUGAUGAGACAGCUCCUUUCUGAUUCCACUGAAACCAGCAAAUGUACCCCUCGUAAGUCUUCAUUGGUUCCUAUUUGCUGAGUGAAAUUCCUACUGACACCAACAUACUCUAUCUCAUCUCCAAAAUUAGUUGUUUUCUAAGUGGAAACAAUCAAAAUGAGCAUCAAGAUGAAAGGCAUAACUACAGAAGUAAAUGGCAGCUGCGGAGGCUUUAUAAAGAGGUGCAAGAGCCUUGUGUGAUUGCUGUGGGGGGAAAGGGAGAGAGACUACCGUGUUAUUUCUAUGCAUGGCUGCCCUAAAUGUGGGAAGAAACUUUGAAAUGUUUGAAAAACAGAAAAAAGUUAUGUGGAGUGGGCAAGGGACAGAAUAAUACAAUAUGAGCUGAAGAUGGCAAGCAGGUCAGUCUCCUUUCUGAUUAUCGCAAAAUCAACCAAUUAGUGGCCCAAACACAGGAAUGAGAGUCCAGCAGGUCCACGGCCCCACUCAUACCCCAGGGAGGAGCCAUCAGGGUGAGUGCUCAGGGCCCCAGCUCUCAGAUCUCACAGGCCCUCUUAGAACUCUGCCCAGGACAAGGAAGGAUUGACAACUUUGGAAAAUGCUGACCUAAUGCACCGACGAUACCUAAUAACACUCUACUGUUCCUUAAGCAUCUCCUCUGUGUCCAGUACCUUACCAGGCACCUAACAUGGCCUAGAGAUGAUCCGUUGCACAACCCCAUGAGAAAUUCCAGGGCCUAAUCUUGAAAUGAACCAGGCAUGGAGACCCAGCUGCAGAACCCUCCCAUCUAGAGGUGACCUCAUGGUGGUUAGUCUACAACUCAGCCACUGUCGAGAUGGCUCCAGCCCACACUCCAGGUGGACCACAACUCAAGAUAGCCAUCGAAACAAGACACAUAGAUCCCAUAUCCAGCGCCAUUCCCACAGGCUUCUCAUACCAAGUUUCCCUUCUUAAACCCUUUACUGAGCCAAAACAAUAUGAAAUGCUCUUUCAGAGGCACGGGCCUGGCCUUUUCUUGACUGCUAGCACCCAAAUAAAG